rnacentral:hammerhead_ribozyme from 1 species
UUACUGAUGAAGAGCCCCAAAAUAGGACGAAACAGUUGUCCAGUAC